rnacentral:rRNA from 1 species
CUUGGUCAUUUAGAGGAAGUAAAAGUCGUAACAAGGUUUCCGUAGGUGAACCUGCGGAAGGAUCAUUAUUGAGUUAGGGUCUUUUAUGGCCCAACCUCCAACCCCCUUGUAUACCACCAAAUGUUUUAUUGUUGCUUCGGUGGGCCAACAGUGCUCACCGCAGCCCAACCAAAAAUCCUAGUAAUGAUGUUGUCUGAGUUAUCAAAGUAAUAAUUAAAACUUUCAACAACGGAUCUCUUGGUUCCCGCAUCGAUGAAGAACGCAGCGAAAUGCGAUAAGUAAUGUGAAUUGCAGAAUUCAGUGAAUCAUCGAAUCUUUGAACGCACAUUGCGCCCUUUGGCAUUCCGAGGGGCAUGCCUGUUCGAGCGUCAUGAUCAAAUCUCAAGCCUUGCUUGGUAUUGGGCUUUCGUCUCUCCUGCUUGUGUGCAGGUAAGUGGCGUGCCUGAAAAGUCACUAGCAGUGCCUCAAUAGACUCAAGCGUAGCAGACUGUACUCGCUUUNGGANGGCCCUUUGUAGACACUGUUAACAAAACAAUCAUGUUGGGACCUCGAUCAGGUAGGAUACCGCUGAACUUAAGCAUAUCAAUAAGCGGAGGAAAGAAACCACCAGGGAUGCCUCAGUAACGGCGAGUGAAGUGGCANCAGCUCAAUUUUGAAAUCUGGUUCCUCUGGGGCCCCGAGUUGUANUUGUAGAGGAUCCNUUCGGGUUNGNCCCCGGCCUAAGNUUCCUUGGANCAGGACGUCACAGAGGGUGAGAAUCCCGUAUGUGGCUGGAGGUCUAUACCCAUGUGAAGCUCCUUCGACGAGUCGAGUUGUUUGGGAAUGCAGCUCAAAAUGGGUGGUAAGUUUCAUCUAAAGCUAAAUAUUGGCGGGAGACCGAUAGCGCACAAGUAGAGUGAUCGAAAGAUGAAAAGCACUUUGGAAAGAGAGUUAAAAAGUACGUGAAAUUGUUGAAAGGGAAGCGCUUGCAACCAGACUUGCCCUUAGUUGAUCAACCGGUGUUCUUCACCGGUGCACUUGACUAGGGUCAGGCCAGCAUCGGUUUAUGCGGUUGGAAAAAGAUCGUAGGAAUGUGGCUCCCUUAGGGGAGUGUUAUAGCCUACGGUGUCAUGCAACCAGUUUAGACCGAGGACCGCGCCUUUGUGCUAGGAUGCUGGCGUAAUGGUUGUAAGCGACCCGUCUUGAAACCACGGACC